UGGGGAAUAUUGGACAAUGGGCGAAAGCCUGAUCCAGCCAUGCCGCGUGUGUGAAGAAGGUCUUCGGAUUGUAAAGCACCUUAAGUUGGGAGGAAGGGCAGUAAGCGAAUACCUUGCUGUUUUGACGUUACCGACAGAAUAAGCACCGGCUAACUCUGUGCCAGCAGCCGCGGUAAUACAGAGGGUGCAAGCGUUAAUCGGAAUUACUGGGCGUAAAGCGCGCGUAGGUGGUUCGUUAAGUUGAAUGUGAAAGCCCCGGGCUCAACCUGGGAACUGCAUCCAAAACUGGCGAGCUAGAGUAGGGCAGAGGGUGGUGGAAUUUCCUGUGUAGCGGUGAAAUGCGUAGAUAUAGGAAGGAACACCAGUGGCGAAGGCGACCACCUGGGCUCAUACUGACACUGAGGUGCGAAAGCGUGGGGAGCAAACAGG
rnacentral:rRNA from 1 species